CUUUGUCACUCUUUUGUACAUUCAGUCUGAUUUGCUGUUUGUUUGCUGCAAUAUCAUGUCUAGAUCGUGCAACGUUUGCAAUAAAGUGUUUCCUAAUGGAAAAUCAUGGGGAGGCCACUUAAGGGCAAGUUACAAGAAGGAAAAGGAAAAGGAUCGAGGAGAUAUUGAUGAUGGCAUGGAAUAUUAUCUCUCUUCUUCACAAUCAGAAUUAGAGUUUGAAUUUCAUGGUGACGGUGACGCUGCUGAGGCUAGAUCCUCAGAAGAUAAGGUUAGAAUUGCUGCUUUAAAUCAAGAUAGUGAAAAGAGUCUCACAGACGAUUGCAGCCUUGAAACAGAAAGGAAGUAUAGAAGAAUAAGGAAGAACCAAAAGAG